UUUUCCACCAAUCAGAGCUUAGGUUAAACGAUGUGCCACGCGCAGCUGUGCAAAAUAAACAAGACGGAGGCCAAGUCUGGUUGAUACCAAGGCCGUCUGCCUCCUGGUAUAGCGCUCUCCUGCGCUCCACAAGCAUGACUAGCUACGUUAAAGGCCUCUACGACUACAUUAGACCGGGACCCAACACUACUGCAGCUCCCACUUCUUCGACUACAUUAACUACCACAAACAGUCCAGUUCAAAGUGGACCCACAACUCCCACCACCCCCCCUGAUACUAAGCCAGAACAACAGCCAGGCUACUUGAAGAGGGCUGUGUCUGGAGUAGCCUCGGGAAUUUAUACUGUAGGUUCAAGUACUGUGGGCGCUGGUGUGACAGGUGUCAAGUGGGUUGCAGGGACGACAUACAGUGUUGGCGCAGGAGUCGUAGGGACUGCUGGAACUGUCGUUGCUGGAACUGCUGGCACUGUGGCCAGUGGAGCAACUGCAGUAUUAUCCAAGGUCUCUACAAAGAAGAAGGAGCACAGUGACUGAUGCUUUAAUGUCAAACACACACUCCGAGCCCCAACUAGUACUGUUAAGGUAUAUAUAUAUAUUUUUCUCACAUUCAUAAGAAAUAUUGCAGAAGAGUAAUUUUAUAUGUUUAUAUUGGCCAAAGUAGCUGUAUCAUUAAUGAGGCUUUGGAAUUAAUGUGAGUAACACCUACCUUCAGACAAAAGUAACUCAAGCUUAAGGAACAAUGAUAAAGACUUAGGGAUACAGUAUAUAUAUAUAUAUGAUAAUGAUAUUAGUUACAGUGUAUGUGUGGCAAAUGACAAAGUGUCAUAAUGUCUGUUGAAUAUUUCUAAUUCAUUAUAAUAAUUAUAAUUAAAUAUUCAUCAUUUACUUUAACUUAAACAUGCUAAGAUUUCUUUUACUGUAGUAUAUCAUGAUAGUCAUUUGGGGGUAAAACUACCAAUUCAGGUAUUAAAAACGCCCUGAUUUUUUUCCCUAAAAAUUUGGAUACUACUACAGUAUUUGACUGAGUAUGUGUACAACAUCUUCUCAUCUGGUAUUGAUAUAUUCAGAGUCUGCAAAUUUAAACAUGAAUGAGCCAUAUCUUCUAGUUACACUCUGUUUUUUGCCAAACUGUAGACAGCAGAUUAUUGGUUUAAACAAAUUGUCAUGACAUUAGUUAAGUGAAAUGAUUAGUUCUUAAGUAAUGGUUUUAUGUCAGAACCUGUAAUGUACACAGAUAAAUGAAUGUAUACACUCACAGGUGAAAUUUUUUUACAAUUUAUGUUUUAUUUAUGAGUAUUGAAUUAUAUGUCUCCAUACAAAGACACAGGUGCUAUGGGCUCCACCACGUCACUUUGUGUUAGUAAGUAAACUCAACAAAUCCUUCGCAACUUCAUGACAGUCCCUUCAAAUACUUAUAAGACAAUCAUUUGUAUUAUUUUUUUCCACUCCAUGUGAUUGAUUUUUUACUAAACUGUAAUAGAUUUAAUCACUACUUUUAUUUGAAUCUAGUUUUACAUGUGUUUGCUGGAAAUGAUAGAGAGAGUUAUAAUAUUCUCAUAAACUACAGUACAUUAGGCACAUGGUACAUCCUUCUCUUAAUUUUUCAUGUAAAGAAUUACUUGUAGAAUAUCUAGUUGAAUAUUUGUUAGAUGUGAAUAAUAUUUUGAUAUGAAAUAGGCUUUGUAGGGCAGUAAUUUAAGUGAUGAUGAAGUGUCCGUUGAGAAAGUCAUCGUGGACGUUGUUUGUACUGUACCUCAUCUCUUACACCACACCUUAUGCUCUACACUGUAUACCUACUUUCCCUUGGGUUUAUUAUUAGUAAUGCUCAAAAUAAAGUGCUUUAAGAACACUUGUGGUGGAUUUGUCCAUUAGAUGCAAAAGAUGGGUUGUUGCAUUAAUGUUGAAAUAGUUCUGUUUGUAUGCCUUUAAUAGUAGAAUUGUUAUUGUUCAGUAGUACUCAAUAUACAGUACUUUACUUUUAAAAUUAUUUUUUUAUUUCCUUUAAAGGUAAUCCUACAGUGUAUUAUAUGGCAAGAGGAAAAUUUUUGUCAAUGUGGGAUUAGUGGGUACAGUACUCUUCUCUGUGUAUGCUAAGUGACUAAUGUCAGUCAUCUUAAAUGGGAAAAUUUUUAAUGUUGUCCUGUACUGUGUGUCUGUCUUUGUUGGAUUUAGAAUAAAUUAUGGUACUAAUUAAUAGAUACAGUACAGAAUAUCUCUUCUCAGAUAGGUAUCCAUUAAAGUGAAAGGAUAUUGAAUAUGAAGGAAAUAUUUAUGUAAUAUAGAUAGAACUUCAUUAAAAGUUGCUCUUUAUCUCAUUUGAGUAAAAAAAAACCGGGUAACUCAGUUAAAUGGAAUAAAAAAAAAUCGAGUUAAACAAAGUAAGUUUAGGGAUUAUGCACUGUUGAGAGAGUAUAGGUAUAUGUUUCAAACUUUGAAUGAUACUCACACUAAACUUCCCCACCUUAGCAAAUACUGUAUGUUAGUAUCUUGUUGCCUUCAGGUAGAAAACUGGAUGGCCUCCGCCGCACAUGGAAACUCUAGUGCUAUGUUGUCUAGCUUUUUUGGGUGAAUACUAGUGAACUUGGCCUCAUCUGAACCUGGCCUCGUGGAGAUCCCAACCUAUAUAAGUACAGAAUAAACCUGUUUUGGUUAGAGUAUAUAAUAAAUAGAUAUACAGUAAUAUAUAUGUCAGACCUCUGGUGUCUUUCCAUGUUACCUGCCUUGAAUUGGAAGGUCAGGAAAUGGACUAUAAACAACAGGUAACCCAAGGUGUCAGGUUGGGAAACAUGAAGCUCCUCCCAGAGUCACAUUGGCCAAUCAUGAGUCUCAGUGCAUUCAGGUCAGUCAUGGGGCAUGACCCUCUAAAAGCUGAACUUUGUUUUAAUUUUUGUCACUUGUCAGACAGGAAGGUUUGAUCUACUACAUUGUGUUAAAAUUUAUGUGGAUUACUCACCUCUAAGUCCGCCUCCCCGUGUGUCAUUUGUUCCGAGGAUGUCCGACCUCGCCAAGAAUCUCUUAAGUGUCGGGCUUGUCUGGCAGCACAGGCUUCUCUUGAGCUGAUGAAAGUUAUCAGAAUAUUUUGCAAUGGUACUUAGAUUAAAAUGGGUAAAAAGAAUUUUGCAUGUCUAUCUCUUCCCAACCAGCAAAUUGUGUGGCCAGGUUUUAGAGCCAAGAGCUAGGUUCUCUCAGGGGUCGGGCUCUAUCUGGUCCAAAAGGUCGGGUUCUGCCAAGGGCCGAAUUCACCUGAUAUCAUUUUUGGCUUGUGGACCCGUAACCAACUUCAUAUGGUCCAUGCACUUUCACCUCACAAAUGCUAUUAAUAGAAAAAACAAACAAUGGAUACACAUCAAAAAUAUCUUUGUAGAUUCACAAUACUGUACUAUAUUACUAAACCAAAAUAAGUACUGUAUCUCUAUUCUGAAUAGAUGUCCAUAAUAUAAAAAGAUUAAAGUAAAAAUAGAAAUCGGGGAAACCUUGUACAUUUAUAAAACUCCCACAAAAUUCUUACAAACAAAGUUAUUUAACACCAUAUCAAAUUAACAUUGCCAAAGCAGUAUGAAAAAAAAAGUACAAUAUAUCCCAAAGACCUCUCAUGUACCCCAUGUUCAACAACCCAGCGCUAUUGUUAAAGUGUUGUAGUGACGGUGUCCUUAUUCUCAAUAACCACCACUUGCCAGCCUGUUUCAUUUUCUCAACCUGCACCUUGUUUUUUACUGUACAGGAUAUUCUAUUUUCAAAUUCUUCCUUUUAAUACAGUGCUUGUUUUAUUCAUUUGUACCUUUCAAUUUUUUCCUGUUUCUUUCCUUGUGCUUUAUAACUUGUACAGUAUAUACUUACUAAGGACACCCACAUCUUCUCUCACAAACUGUUUCUCAAUAAGAGUAAGUGGUGACCGAUUCACUUAACUAGCAUUUGACUUAGUUUGUCAUGUUUAUACUACAUUUAUAUGUUUACAAGUACAAUAUAGCAAAUGUUUAAAAUGCUUCUUUAAAAUAUGAAAGUGACAGGAAUAUUUAGAAGAGAUGUUACAGGGCAUCCCAUUAAUCCUUUGCUUGUGUAUGAGUUCCUCUCAAAACUGAAUAAAAUCAUAGUGAAGGGAUUAAGGGAGUGAGUCUUCCUAGUGGAUAAGGGGCCAAGGUUGUUGCCAGGCCAGAAGAUUGACUGGUGUCAUAGAUGUCAUAUUUAGACAAAAAUAAAAGAAAUUGUACAUACUUCAUAUAAGAUCUAAGGUUUUUGUGUUAAUAUGCAUAUACAGUAUGAAUAUUGUUUCAAGAUGUGCAUAUAUGUUACUAGUCAUUUAUACCAAUUAAUAACUAUCAAACUGUGAGCCUUGUAUAGAAACUCCUUUCAACAGUAGGGGCUUCAUACAUCUCGGCUAUUUCAAUUAACCAGAUUUUAAACAGUAUAGCCUGUGUCUUUUUCAGUAAGUUGUAUUGCAUUAUAAUGUAACAUAAUGAAAGAAAUUUUAUAAGUUACAACUACAGGCAUAUUGAACUUACAAUUUAAUAUUUCCCUUUUUUUUUUCAAGUCUUGUAGACCUCCUUUUGUAAUAUUAUUGAGUAGCCGUAACUAAGAAUAACACAACUUCUCCUAAUUUGUUUUUGUCUUUUUACUUUUGCAGCUGUAGUGUUCUCAUAAACCACUUGAUUACAUACAUACCUGUACCUUACUGCUUCUUGUAUACUGUACAUAUAUUUCCCUCACUUCUAUUGUGUCCCUCAAUUUAUCCUUCCCUCUCUUUCUUGGUGUUCCUCUUGCCUUCAACCAAUCCACAUUUGAAUUAAAUCAUUACACAUCUCUAAUGGAUUAAUUAUUGCACAUGAUGGUCUGGAACAGGGGAAAUGCUGAUAUAACAAAACAUUUGCAAUACAAGUACAGUAGUGGUAGUAUAUAAACGUGAGCUAUGAGAGGCAGACACUUGUUCCAUUAUCUUAAAGUUGGCACUGUUAUAUUUAAUUCUUGGCUCCAAAGUGUUAAGAUCAUCACUUACUUCUGAUAAUAAUAAUUUUGAACUUGAUCCACUGGUGAUGGUGGUGGUGAUAAAGAUGAGUUUAUAUUACUGAUGAUAAUGGAGGGUUUAAGUGGAUUAUUGUGUUGAUGGCCCUGGUCUUGGGUUAUCAAGAGAUGGCAAAGUAGUGCUGGUGGGGGUUUCAGUGGGGCAAACUAAAGACUCAGCCUUUAUGAAGAUUUGUUUAUUUUAGUUUUGCAUUGUCCUUUUUUUAAGCCCUUUAUAAAUUUCCCUGUAUGAAGCCAUGGCAGCUUGAAUUUUUGGCUUGAACUACAGUAUUAACUGCUCAAGGUCCUGUAACUUAUUUCCUGUGGGACUAUGUCAGAUAUUAAUUUUUUGUUCCACCAAUGUCAUCAACUUUGUGAAUUUUGAAGGUGAGAAACAAGAUACUGCUUUGUUGUCUGCAGAGCCAGAAAAGAAGCUCAUAAUGAAUUUCUAUCGCUUGAAAAUGAAGCCUUUCAAGUUAAUUAUUAGUACUACAGUAUAUCAUGGGUUUUUGUAAUAGUUUUGUUAGUUUUGGUAAUAAAUUUUAAUCAUAUUGUUUGAUUAGUGUUGUCAGUCACACAGGUCUCUCCACAUCAAUAAGGUUUAUACAAAAACUCACAUAGCAGUCCCAUGGUGAUGAACAAUAAUAUCUCCUCACAUGAAUUACAAUCUAAUUUACACUAAAUAUUGUACAGUACACUUCAGUAACACAGAAAAUACCAAAGCAACAGUGGUAAGUAAGAUGAUUACAUACAGAGGAAAAAUAAUGGUGGAAUGAUUGGGGUUAAAAAGUUCUUGGAGAGCCAAAUGGAUGAGAGUACAUCAAAUGGUAUUAAUAAAUAAUUACACACCAUAAAGGAACAUAAGGCAAAUAAGAGAAUGACAAGGAAGAUUUAUAAAAGGAUGCUGGGAAGUACAAAACAACACUUGACUGAGAGAUGGACAGUGUAUUACAGUAUAUAGAUCUGUUAGUAAGGCCAAGAGAUGUCACAUGAUACAAUAUGAGGAUCGUAUGACCAGAGUGGACAAAGCACCAGAAAAAUAAUAGAGACCUCUGGCACUUUCCCCUCUGUGAUCUACUUAUAGCAAAAUCGACCAUAUUAACACAUCCAGAGGUGGUUUCUCUAUCCUUUUGUGAAUAAAUCUUUGAUUUUGACCCUACAGUAGUAGUUCUUUGCCAACUCUGGUCGUACGUGCUUCAUAUAUUUAAGUAUCUUGAGGAAUGAUUGCAGACUGUGUACAGUCAAUAAAAACUAUCUUCAUCUCGUGCACAAUGAAGUUCAGGUGAGUUGCAGUAAGCAAUAUUAGAAAUAGUAAGAAUUGUCUUGUUCUGAUUUCCCAAUCAUAUAAUCUACAAUGUACAUAAAAAUAUGCCAAAAGUAACAAACUGUCUCAUUUAGUCUCUUAUGUUGACUCACUAAAGGUGAAAUAUAACAAAGAAAAUGUUUACAUUAAUGAAUUACAGAUUAGUUUAACAUUUUUAUUAAGUGAAAGAAGAGAUAGCUUUAAGUAUGAAGAGUGUUAUGUAAGUAAACCAUACUACAACUCAUCAAUUUAACAACUUACUGCAGUAAUUUUGGACUUAAAGUUUUUAAUAUAGUAUUACUUUAAAAAAACCACUUGAAAUUGCCAUAAAUACUGUCAACAUUAUUCUUGCACAGUUUACCAUAGAACAGAGUCCAAACUUUGCAGGAUGAAUAGAUCACCAUAUUUUUCUACUGUACAGGGGCCUGUAUUUGAAUUCUGUACAGCGUUCAUAUUUCACUAGAGACCAAUGUGCUUCCACAGAGCAAACUACCUUCAUAUCACUUCUUGGGAAUUAUUUUUUAUUAUGCUUCAAGAUAAUGAUGAAUUAACAUUGUAAUUUACAAGUAAGAGAAAUAGUCAUUGUCAAAUUUCUGUAGUUAAUUACAGGUUGACUGACCCUCUCUUAUCCAACAUUCUAUCGACCGCCAACUCCCAAAUAACAACACUAGUUAUACAAAAAGCAUUACCUGUAUCCACCAAACCUCCCAAUUAACAGCACAUUCAACCACUGCAUAGUUGUCCAAUUGGCUGCUUGGUGGCAGGCAUUUAUUGGUACAGGUAUUUAAUAAUUAUUCUACCCACAAUUCACAUUACAGUACAGUAUAUAAUGUCUUAAAGGCAACUAUUAUAUACUUCUGUCUCUAGUUCUCCCAAGAGGAAGAGACACACACUAACUAUAAGAGAAAAUAGAGCAGCUGCUGAUCAAUUUGGAUCACUGUGUUUCUGUUCUCUAAGUGAAAUGUACCAUGUUUGUUCUUCUACAGUGUCUGACUUGAAGUAGAAAGGGAAUUUUCUUAUCUUUAUGCACAAUUUUUUGGGGUAUAAUGGCUGUGCUUAGUUAAAUAUUGAUUGUUCCCUAUAAAAUACAAAUCUUUUUUCUCGUUUUAAAAUAUUUAAAAAUAAAAUUCAUAUCACUCGCACUCAACUAGAACCUUAUUGCAGUGAGGGUUGUUGUCGUGAGUACAUACAUAAUAUUUUUCUUUGGAAAUCCUGCCAAAUUGUGCAUACUGUGUGUUUAAAGACCCUCCAGUGCUUUGCCAACCACAGCUUGUAUCAAGAGACAGGUGAAAUUAGACUUGAUUAAACAUGAGCAUAGUAAAAGAAGAAUGGUUGAGAAUCAGAUGUGAGAGGGAAAAUAUGACUUGUACUUAGCAAGAAAUUAUUCAUUACCACAGUUUAUAUUAUGCAUUCUGACAAUUAAAAAAGUUUAUUGUUUUAAUGUGGUAAAAUUGGGUGUAGGUGGAGGUGGUACGGGUAGCUAGCUGAUGUAGGGUGGUCCAUGGUCAAUUGACAAAAGGUUCCUUGAGAUGGUGAUUAUGGACAACCCUUUCAGUAAUAGAGGUACUGUACAAAUUUUAUAUUGUAUUUUAUAUACCUUGUAUUUCUAUGUACUAAGUUAUUUGUUUCAAUUUUUGUGUUCCUGUAUGAAAAAAUUUCCUUAGGGAGGCAAGGCUGCGAGAGUAACACAAAAUUGUUUGAAGAUAAUGAAUAAUGAAGAGUGUACAAUACAGUAUCAUGAGUACAAGUGCUCAGAUAAGACUUGGGAUAUGCAAAUUCUACAUAUUUUUCAUUUGGUAUUUUAUUUUGCAGUAAUGUAUUCCAUUUAUUAAGCAUUGUCAUAUUGUUAAUUUAUUUAUUAUGAAGUACAUCAAAUUUGUACCAAAAAAAAUCCGUAACAUAAUGAAGCAUUAGGUUAAAUGUAGCAUAGGGUAAUGUGCCAUUAUAUAUCAACCUUGUAUUUAAUGAAAAUUUCUAAUAUUUGUCAUGAACCUGUUCCCAAGGUUGUCAGAUCAGAGGGUCAACCUGUACUGUAAAAAAAAUACUGAUACUCUCUACUUGUGUUUGUAAACAUCAAAUGGGCUUUGUUACUUUACACACAGGAACUACUGGUAUGAAUAUGUAGAAUCUUAUGGGAUCAAAUUGUGCCAUAGACAGAGUACUGUACAAUAAAGCAAGUAAUAUGGGGAUUUUGAACAUUUUAAUGCCUUGAAAAUGUAAUAUAUGUUACUACUGGUACAUGGAAGUGGCAGUUAUCAUGGACAUUAUUGUAGUACAGUACAGUAUUUCCAUUGCACUUUAGUACAAAAACUAAAACUAUCUAAUGGUGUGAUUUAACUUGUUUCUCUUAAAACUACAGUUAAUGAUUCCUCUUGCAUCCCAAUGUAUUAUUAUUUGGUAUGGGCUCCACCAUCUUAUAGUAGAACCUCAGAAGUCAACUACAAUAUGUACAAUUCUUAGAAAACUUUGGGGAGGGAGGAAUAGGUGCUUGCAGAUACCACACUGUUUCUAGAAUCAUAUCCACCCAGUAUUAAUUUAUGGUCACCUUGUUUACAGGACUACUCCAGUUUCAGUGUGCAUAUUACUAGGGACAGAUGAAGAAUGACCCGAGUCCCAACCAUAAGCCCCCUUCCAUACUUGUGUUGAUAUCCUGCAGUGUAUAUAAUUGGUGGGUGAAGUGAUGGAGCACUAUUGUAUUCUUUUAUUAGGAUUCUAUUAAGUCACAACCAAUGAAUUGCAUAUCACAAUCAUUAUAUGCUAGUCAGCUGAUCCCUGUAUAAUAAUGUCUGCUAGUUCUGAUUUAUUAAGUAGAAUUUCCAAUGUACAGGUACUGUUAUAUUAAUUGAACAUUACAUGAAUAAUAUACUAUCAUAGUGAUAAGCUAUGGGGCCCAACUUAACCUGGCAGCUAUCCCCCCUUUGCCAGCCCUGCCUAUUACACCUUACUUUUAUGUUUACUUUUUUUUUUUUUUUUACUUUGUUCUGGCAAGAGUAAUGUUUUCCUAAUACAUAAUAGUGUACAGUACUGUCUGUGAUUUAGGGGAUUGGGAGGAAUUCACAAAUCUGCUAUGCUCUUGGUUCUAAUAGUGUUGGUUGUCUGAGGUUAUAUAUAUAUAUAUAUAUAUAUAUAUAUAUAUAUAUAUAUAUAUAUAUAUAUAUAUAUAUAUAUAUAUAUAUAUAUAUAUAUGCUUACCGGUAUGUAACAUUUUAACUAAAUAUUGAUAUAGCAUAAUUAAGUCUUCUUGCUGCUAAAUUAAGACUUUGUUUUUGUUUGUUAUUCAAGAUAAAUGACAUUUUUGGUAUUUAACAAUUGACAUUGCCGGUCAUAUUUGCUCCCUAUUGUCUCUAGUCUUAUGAAGGUGUUUGUAAUACUGUAUUUUUUUUUUAAGCUAAACACCUUAGGGUUGAUUCUUAAAAAGUGUAUUCAAUGAAGUAAGGGUAUUUUUUGGUAGUGGGUAUUUGUGUGCAUAGCCUAAUUGUACAAAGUACAAAAAACUAUAUUGUGCAAUACAUCAGUAAACAUAAAAUACAUGCAUGAGUUUCUUAGAAUGUACAAAAUUUUGUAUAACAGGGGUCGGCAACCUUUUGAACACACUGUGCCAUUUUUUAACAUUUUUACUGCCCUGCGUGCCAACUAUUAUUUUCAAUAUGCAAAUUAUUGUCAUGUGUAUAUUGAUAAAUAAUGCUUUCAUAUAUAUUUGAAAUACUGUACACAUAACUACAUACCGUAUGAAUGGUAAGAUGUAUAAUCAAAUACUAUAAAAUGCUCUCACCAUUUUAGUGUGAUCCCUGUCCCUGCUUCCCCUUGCUCAGCGUUGCUAUGUCGGGAGUAUAUCUGGACACCUUAAGUUGCACACACCCCUCGGAGUGCUUGGUUGUAAGUCGGCUGCGAUGAGGAUUGAGGAUAUUCACGUGUGAAAAUAUCUGCUCACAUAGAUAUGUCGUUCCAAAGGGUGAAAGUGCAAAGGCAUCCUUCUUCAUGCAAUCAAAUUUCUCUGGUAGGGAUGUCCAGCAGCUUAGGAUGGAGACCUCAUGAUCACUCGCAGUCGUUUCAAGUGUUUUACGUAGUUCCGUGAACUUUACUACCCAUAAUGAAAACAACUUAAAAUCGAUCAGCUGCAUCUCCAGGUCCCCAAUUUUCAUCCACUCAAAUAAAGACAAGUCCAAGUCACUCUCCUCAAAGUUUUCAGGUUUAAUUAAAAAGGAAAACGUUGGGCCAAUGUGCUGGAAAUCUUGAAAUCUGACAGAGAAUUUGGACUUCAUUCUUGCAUGUACCUUGUACACUGUAGUGUUCACAGGAUGAUGUGCUGACCACCCUUUCAGGUGCUAGAAGUAGCAGAAAGUUGUAGUUUCAAUAUCCACCAAGCCUUCCAAGUGCCAUACAGAUCCACAACUGUUUGUCCUGCACCCUGCAGGCGAAGAUUAAAGUCACUGAGGUGUUUGGUGGUGUCUGAGAGAAGCCUAAGUUUCACUACCCAUUGGUCAUCUUCCAGUUCAGGAUAUUUUUGGCCCUUUUCUUUCAGGAAGAUCCCGAUUUCAUCAACGCAUUCCACGAGCCAUUCUCAAACCUUCCCGCAACUUAACCACCUAACACUGGAGUAAAGGGAUAUGUCUCCAUAUGCACUAUUCAUCUCAUCAAGAAAAGACUGGAGUUGUCUGUGUGUAAGGGCAGAUCGUCCAGCCAAAAAAUUCAAAAUUUUUGUCAGUGGCCAUUACUUUAUUGAGAUCAGAGUUUGAAAUUCUGGCACACAGAUUUGCUUGAUGAAUAAUGCAGUGUAACUUAAGGGUGGGGUGCCCAAUUUUAUCCUCAAUUAGCUGGGCAAAUGCCCUGUGUUUUCCUACCAUAGCAGGAGCGCCAUCUGUUGUAACUGCAAAUAUUAUUUUAACAUCAACCCAUCUCUCCUCAAAAUGAUCAAUGAACGUUUUAACAACGUCAUCUCCCUUGGUAGUACCACGCAUUGGUCGUAGGCAGCACAGCUCCUCGUGUACCUACGUGUCACUGUACCUGGCGACAAUAGCCAAACGUGGUAUGUCAUUUAUAUCAACACUCUCAUCAACAGCAAUACUGAACACAGUUGCAUGCCUCUACAGUCCUGGCAGCAACAGGCAUGUCUUUUAUCCUCAAGAUGAUUGUGUGUUUGUUUGGUAAAUCCCUAAAUAAAACUUAAGAGCUGUUGAGAAAGGCCUCCUUUAUAAUCCCCAUCAAUAAAUGGUUUUUCAUGUUUAACAAUACAGAGAAACUUGGUAGCUGGCCUCAGUUGCAUGAUCUUUGUUUCCACUCAGAUUCUUCAUCACGCUGUUUUGUAGUGGGAUAAUGCUUUCUUAAUUGCUUCAGCCUUGUCUGCAUUGUCCUUAAAUGUCUUCUCAUGCUUCGUUUCAUAAUGUCUCUUUACACUUGAUGUCCGGCAAACAACAUUCUCGCAACACAGAGCACACACAGCUCGACCAUUCUUUAGAAUAAAUCCAAAGUCUUUUGUCCAAGAGGGUUGAAACGAUCGAACAUUUAAUUUGGCGUUCUUGGCAGCUGCCAUUGUGGCUACUUAAUUAUGAAUAGAUUUUGUCACUGCGACUGAAAGCACACUGACCAUGCCUGACGGUCUGAGUAACCAGUGUUACCACCUAGAAAUAGAAACUCCCACAAAUAAAAAAUCCAGUAGAUUGAUUACUACUAGAAAGAUUAUUGAGUAAUUUCAUUGAAAGUGACAUAAAUUAAAAAUAAUAAAACAUAUUUAUACUCCAAUUUCUUAGAUAUAGAAAAUAUCCCGAGAAAAAGAACACAAGGCGAGCUACCUAUUUUGUGUAGCUAAAAUGGCAACACUGAGUCUGAUGCAACACAGGCUACAUAUGAGCGGACGGGUACUGGACCCGUGAGUUCUAGCUCCUGUCAGUUUGUUUAUUUGAAAUGGUGCUAUUUUUCGAUUUUGUAAUAUGUUUUUAAAAUUGCUUGGCGAGCCGUGGUCAACUCUCGCGUGCCAACUUUGGCAUGCAUGCCAGGGAUUGCCGACACCUGCUGUACAGUUAUAAUCUCUUCAUUCUAUAAAACAAAUAUUAGAAGAAAAAAAUGACAAUGUCUUUAGUGAAACUGUGAAUUUCAUAUACAAUAGUUAUAUGUCACUACUGUAUUCUGUCUUGACUGAAAUUAAUUGGUUAAAUUUUGCCAGUAAUGGAUUCCUUGGGCUUUAUUUUAUACUGUAGUACUUAAUUUAUCUCUUGCAUGGGGAAGGAAGCUGGUGGAUUAUAUAGUAAACCCCUUCACUGUUCUUACUGAGUUUGUCCUUCAUGGGUCAAGCUGGACAACACCUUCCCCAUAUCUGAUCCAAGCAGGAAUCAAACCCUGGUUCCAGAGGCGGGAGGUAAAUGAACUACCGCUGUACAGUCUCGCCCAAAAGUUCAUUAACUCUCCCAGCCAGCUAUUGCUGCACUGCCAGCUUCAGAUGUUUGAAACUGUCUCAGUACCAACCAGAACAUGAAACUGAUACGAAUGAAUCUAAAGGUUUGAAGUAACAGACUCAAGUUCAUACAUCUGAAGCAGGCAGUGCAGCAAUAGCUGGCUGGCAGAGUUAACCAACUUUUGGGUGAGACUGUACAAUUAAUAUCUUUCAUAUACCACCAACAUAGAUAUAAGAUGUCAUAAAUGUUUGCUCCAAGAGUAGUAUAUUUCACCGAGAUUAAUUGAAGAGUGUACUGUAGUGGCUUCUAUACAUAUCAAUAAAGAAACUUUUCUGUACUUUUGUAAUAGAGAUUAAAAUAUAAUACUUCCCUUGUUAUUUUUGUAAUGUACUGAUUUUUACAGAAUGAGAAGGAUUUGUAAAUUCUAAUGUAUCAAAUUUUGUGAUGUUAAAACUUAUUUAAUUGUGUUUGUUGAGGUUACAGAAAUUUUAUCACAGUAUAGCAUAUUUAUGGCUUCACUUAUGGAAUGCUAUUUUUCUAAACUAAUAUAUUUUAGAAAUUCAUUAUGCUGCUAUAAGUCAACUGUCUUCCGAGUUCCCUUUAUGAGUAAUAAAGUGUUCAUUAGAAAUAC
rnacentral:lncRNA from 1 species